rnacentral:rRNA from 1 species
GUUGUAUGGUUAAGUGACUAAGCGUACACGGUGGAUGCCUUGGCAGUCAGAGGCGAUGAAAGACGUAGUAACUUGCGAUAAGCCCAGAUUAGGUAGUAACAACCAUUUGAGUCUGGGAUUUCUGAAUGGGGAAACCCACGUGCAUAAGCACGUAUCCUUACCUGAAUACAUAGGGUAAGGAGGCGAACCGGGGGAACUGAAACAUCUAAGUACCCCGAGGAAAAGAAAUCAACCGAGAUUCCGAAAGUAGCGGCGAGCGAAAUUGGACUAGCCCUUAAGCUUUACACGCGUUAGACGAACGGUCUGGAAAGUCCGACGAUACAGGGUGAUAGUCCCGUAGUUGACGACGUGUGUUCAGUGAAAUCGAGUAGGGCGGGACACGUGAUAUCCUGUCUGAAUAUGGGGGGACCAUCCUCCAAGGCUAAAUACUACUGACUGACCGAUAGUGAACCAGUACCGUGAGGGAAAGGCGAAAAGAACCCCUGUGAGGGGAGUGAAAUAGAACCUGAAACCGUGUACGUACAAGCAGUAGGAGCAGGCUUUGUCCUGUGACUGCGUACCUUUUGUAUAAUGGGUCAGCGACUUAUAUUCAGUGGCAAGGUUAACCAUCUAGGGGAGCCGUAGGGAAACCGAGUCUUAACUGGGCGUUCAGUCUCUGGAUAUAGACCCGAAACCAGGUGAUCUAGCCAUGGGCAGGUUGAAGGUUGAGUAACAUCAACUGGAGGACCGAACCGACUAAUGUUGAAAAAUUAGCGGAUGACUUGUGGCUAGGGGUGAAAGGCCAAUCAAACCUGGAGAUAGCUGGUUCUCCCCGAAAGCUAUUUAGGUAGCGCCUCGGACGAAUACUACUGGGGGUAGAGCACUGUUAAGGCUAGGGGGUCAUCCCGACUUACCAACCCUUUGCAAACUCCGAAUACCAGUAAGUACUAUCCGGGAGACACACGGCGGGUGCUAACGUCCGUCGUGGAGAGGGAAACAACCCAGACCGCCAGCUAAGGUCCCAAAUUACUACUAAGUGGGAAACGAUGUGGGAAGGCUCAGACAGCCAGGAUGUUGGCUUAGAAGCAGCCAUCAUUUAAAGAAAGCGUAAUAGCUCACUGGUCGAGUCGGCCUGCGCGGAAGAUGUAACGGGGCUAAGUAGUAAACCGAAGCUGCGGCAAUGCACUUUGUGCAUUGGGUAGGGGAGCGUUCUGUAAGCGGUUGAAGGUGUGUGGUAACGCAUGCUGGACGUAUCAGAAGUGCGAAUGCUGACAUGAGUAACGAUAAAGGGGGUGAAAAACCUCCUCGCCGGAAGACCAAGGGUUCCUGUCCAACGUUAAUCGGGGCAGGGUAAGUCGACCCCUAAGGCGAGGCCGAAAGGCGUAGUCGAUGGGAAACGGGUUAAUAUUCCCGUACUUCUUACAAUUGCGAUGGGGGGACGGAGAAGGCUAGGUGGGCCUGGCGACGGUUGUCCAGGUUCAAGUGCGUAGGCUUAAGAGUUAGGUAAAUCCGGCUCUUUUUAAGGCUGAGACACGACGUCGAGCACCUACGGGUGUGAAGUCAUUGAUGCCAUGCUUCCAGGAAAAGCCUCUAAGCUUCAGAUUGUAAGGAAUCGUACCCCAAACCGACACAGGUGGUCGGGUAGAGAAUACCAAGGCGCUUGAGAGAACUCGGGUGAAGGAACUAGGCAAAAUGGUACCGUAACUUCGGGAGAAGGUAC